GACGAACGCUGGCGGCGUGCUUAACACAUGCAAGUCGAGCGGUAAGGCCCUUCGGGUACGACGAGCGGCGAACGGGUGAGUAACACGUGGGUGACCUGCCUCUAGCUCUGGGAUAAGCCUGGGAAACUGGGUCGUAAUACCGGAUAUGACUCCACGGCGCAUGUUGUGGGGUGGAAAGCCUUGUGUGGCUAGAGAUGGGCCCGCGGCCUAUCAGCUUGUUGGUGGGGUGAUGGCCUACCAAGGCGACGAC
rnacentral:rRNA from 1 species